rnacentral:rRNA from 1 species
UACGGGGGGAGCAAGCGUUGUUCGGAUUUACUGGGCGUAAAGGGCGCGUAGGCGGUCAGCACAAGUCAGUUGUGAAAUCUCCGGGCUUAACUCGGAAAGGUCAACUGAUACUGUGCGACUAGAGUGCGGAAGGGGCAACUGGAAUUCUCGGUGUAGCGGUGAAAUGCGUAGAUAUCGAGAGGAACACCUGUGGCGAAGGCGGGUUGCUGGGCCGACACUGACGCUGAUGCGCGACAGCAUGGGGAGCAAACAGG